UUAAGUUAUUAAGGGCGCACGGUGGAUGCCUUGGCACUAGAAGCCGAUGAAGGACGUUACUAACGACGAUAUGCUUUGGGGAGCUGUAAGUAAGCUUUGAUCCAGAGAUUUCCGAAUGGGGAAACCCAGCAUGAGUUAUGUCAUGUUAUCGAUAUGUGAAUACAUAGCAUAUCAGAAGGCACACCCGGAGAACUGAAACAUCUUAGUACCCGGAGGAAGAGAAAGAAAAUUCGAUUCCCUUAGUAGCGGCGAGCGAAACGGGAAGAGCCCAAACCAACAAGCUUGCUUGUUGGGGUUGUAGGACACUCUAUACGGAGUUACAAAGGACGACAUUAGACGAAUCAUCUGGAAAGAUGAAUCAAAGAAGGUAAUAAUCCUGUAGUCGAAAAUGUUGUCUCUCUUGAGUGGAUCCUGAGUACGACGGAGCACGUGAAAUUCCGUUGGAAUCUGGGAGGACCAUCUCCUAAGGCUAAAUACUCUCUAGUGACCGAUAGUGAACCAGUACCGUGAGGGAAAGGUGAAAAGCACCCCGGAAGGGGAGUGAAAUAGAACCUGAAACCGUGUGCUUACAAGUAGUCAGAGCCCGUUAAUGGGUGAUGGCGUGCCUUUUGUAGAAUGAACCGGCGAGUUACGAUUUGAUGCAAGGUUAAGCAGUAAAUGUGGAGCCGUAGCGAAAGCGAGUCUGAAUAGGGCGUUUAGUAUUUGGUCGUAGACCCGAAACCAGGUGAUCUACCCUUGGUCAGGUUGAAGUUCAGGUAACACUGAAUGGAGGACCGAACCGACUUACGUUGAAAAGUGAGCGGAUGAACUGAGGGUAGCGGAGAAAUUCCAAUCGAACCUGGAGAUAGCUGGUUCUCUCCGAAAUAGCUUUAGGGCUAGCCUCAAGUGAUGAUUAUUGGAGGUAGAGCACUGUUUGGACGAGGGGCCCCUCUCGGGUUACCGAAUUCAGACAAACUCCGAAUGCCAAUUAAUUUAACUUGGGAGUCAGAACAUGGGUGAUAAGGUCCGUGUUCGAAAGGGAAACAGCCCAGACCACCAGCUAAGGUCCCAAAAUAUAUGUUAAGUGGAAAAGGAUGUGGCGUUGCCCAGACAACUAGGAUGUUGGCUUAGAAGCAGCCAUCAUUUAAAGAGUGCGUAAUAGCUCACUAGUCGAGUGACACUGCGCCGAAAAUGUACCGGGGCUAAACAUAUUACCGAAGCUGUGGAUUGUCCUUUGGACAAUGGUAGGAGAGCGUUCUAAGGGCGUUGAAGCAUGAUCGUAAGGACAUGUGGAGCGCUUAGAAGUGAGAAUGCCGGUGUGAGUAGCGAAAGACGGGUGAGAAUCCCGUCCACCGAUUGACUAAGGUUUCCAGAGGAAGGCUCGUCCGCUCUGGGUUAGUCGGGUCCUAAGCUGAGGCCGACAGGCGUAGGCGAUGGAUAACAGGUUGAUAUUCCUGUACCACCUAUAAUCGUUUUAAUCGAUGGGGGGACGCAGUAGGAUAGGCGAAGCGUGCGAUUGGAUUGCACGUCUAAGCAGUAAGGCUGAGUAUUAGGCAAAUCCGGUACUCAUUAAGGCUGAGCUGUGAUGGGGAGAAGACAUUGUGUCUUCGAGUCGUUGAUUUCACACUGCCGAGAAAAGCCUCUAGAUAGAAAAUAGGUGCCCGUACCGCAAACCGACACAGGUAGUCAAGAUGAGAAUUCUAAGGUGAGCGAGCGAACUCUCGUUAAGGAACUCGGCAAAAUGACCCCGUAACUUCGGGAGAAGGGGUGCUCUUUAGGGUUAACGCCCAGAAGAGCCGCAGUGAAUAGGCCCAAGCGACUGUUUAUCAAAAACACAGGUCUCUGCUAAACCGUAAGGUGAUGUAUAGGGGCUGACGCCUGCCCGGUGCUGGAAGGUUAAGAGGAGUGGUUAGCUUCUGCGAAGCUACGAAUCGAAGCCCCAGUAAACGGCGGCCGUAACUAUAACGGUCCUAAGGUAGCGAAAUUCCUUGUCGGGUAAGUUCCGACCCGCACGAAAGGCGUAACGAUUUGGGCACUGUCUCAACGAGAGACUCGGUGAAAUCAUAGUACCUGUGAAGAUGCAGGUUACCCGCGACAGGACGGAAAGACCCCGUGGAGCUUUACUGUAGCCUGAUAUUGAAAUUCGGCACAGCUUGUACAGGAUAGGUAGGAGCCUUUGAAACGUGAGCGCUAGCUUACGUGGAGGCGCUGGUGGGAUACUACCCUAGCUGUGUUGGCUUUCUAACCCGCACCACUUAUCGUGGUG
rnacentral:rRNA from 1 species